CACCAGCCAAACACAGCUGGACCAUUAAAGAUACCCUCAGCCCCUUACAGUCUCUAGUUAGAAAGAUGAUGAAAACUCACACACCACCAGCAAAAUCCCCCAUCAUGCUGGACAACGCACCCUCCUACUCCCACGACCCAGUUGGAAUGGCUUCAGGCUUCAGCCAGGCUGCAGGAGCGUUCCAUCAGGGCAACACAUUCUCAGAAGGAUACAAGGUACACAACCUUUUCUAGAAACCAUCAGUGCACAUGUAAUGCUUUAACCUUCCUGGCAUUCCAAAAUGAAGACGCGCACUUCAGCACACCUGACCUCGACAAAGUGCUUGAACAGGUAGAUUCACUUUAU